UACGUAGGGUGCAAGCGUUACUCGGAAUUACUGGGCGUAAAGCGUGCGCAGGCGGCUUUGCAAGACAGAUGUGAAAUCCCCGGGCUUAACCUGGGAACUGCAUUUGUGACUGCAUGGCUGGAGUGCGGCAGAGGGGGAUGGAAUUCCGCGUGUAGCAGUGAAAUGCGUAGAUAUGCGGAGGAACACCGAUGGCGAAGGCAAUCCCCUGGGCCUGCACUGACGCUCAUGCACGAAAGCGUGGGGAGCAAACAGG
rnacentral:rRNA from 1 species